GGCGCUGUAGUGUAGUGGUUUAGCACACUGGCCUGAAGUGCCGGCAUCCCAUAUGGGCACCGGUUCUAGUCCCGUCUGCCCCU
rnacentral:tRNA from 1 species